AGCCAAUGCCAAACAUGCAAAUUUUUACAGGAAAUGGAUUAAGCUGACGCAAUAUUUGGAGUGACUCUGAAUGUUCCGAGUUAAUCAUUAAGUCCCACAGGAGAAGAGGCUGAGCUCACAGUGGAGGCUCACUUUCCAGCGAUGGCCCCGGCUGACCGAGUGACCGAGUGACCGAGUGACAAACUGCGAGUGGCUGUACUCCGGAGUCAGAGACACCAGGGGGAGAUGAAAGACCCCCCCAAUCAUCCCAGUAACACUUGUAUUACCCCCAGAGGACUACGGAAAGGAUUUAUUAAGGACUCUGAAACAAAUGAAAACAAAGUAAGAUUUCAGAGCUUUUUGGGAACAUACACUGUACUGAAGUGGAACAUUCUGUGGUGUGGGAAUUCUGAUGGUGAGUAAAAACACUGUAUGUCUUCUUCUAAUUCUCUUUCAGCAAAAUAUUCAUUUACAGCUC
rnacentral:lncRNA from 1 species